UACAGAGGGGGCAAGCGUUGUUCGGAAUUACUGGGCGUAAAGGGCGCGUAGGCGGCCUUCUAAGUCGAACGUGAAAUCCCCGGGCUCAACCCGGGAACUGCGUCCGAUACUGGAAGGCUUGAAUCCGGGAGAGGGAUGCGGAAUUCCAGGUGUAGCGGUGAAAUGCGCAGAUAUCAGGAGGAACACCGAUGGCGAAGGCAGGUCUCUGGGCAUUAACUGACGCUGAGGAGCGAAAGCAUGGGGAGCGAACAGGA
rnacentral:rRNA from 1 species